rnacentral:rRNA from 1 species
GCAAUACACGAGUGGCGCACGGGUGAGUAACGCGUGGAUAUCUGCCUUUUGGUUCGGAAUAACUCCGGGAAACUGGAGCUAAUACCGGAUGGUUCCUUCGGGAUAAAGAUUUAUCGCCAAAAGAUGAGUCCGCGUACGAUUAGCUAGUUGGUGAGGUAAUGGCUCACCAAGGCGACGAUCGUUAGCUGGUCUGAGAGGACGAUCAGCCACACUGGGACUGAGACACGGCCCAGACUCCUACGGGAGGCAGCAGUGGGGAAUAUUGGACAAUGGGGGCAACCCUGAUCCAGCCAUGCCGCGUGAGUGAUGAAGGCCUUCGGGUUGUAAAGCUCUUUUGGCGGGGACGAUGAUGACGGUACCCGCAGAAUAAGCCCCGGCUAACUUCGUGCCAGCAGCCGCGGUAAGACGAAGGGGGCUAGCGUUGUUCGGAAUUACUGGGCGUAAAGCGAGUGUAGGU